GCCGCCGGCCUGCGCCCCGGGAGCGCAGCCUUUCCCUGCCCCGAGCGUCCGCCUCCGCAGCCGGCGAAACAACAGCCCAGUCCCUUCUAAAUUGUCAUUAGUUUUAUUCGCAGGCUCGCUUGGUGUGUGAUUCUCAGGGUGUCCUGCGCAGGGCCAGGUGUUGGACUCGAUGAUCCUGCUGGGUCGCUUCCAUCUCAGCGUACUCUGUGAUUCUGUGACUUUCUGUGACUAACAGGCCUGGCUGCAGGGCACACAGGCGGAACAAAAGCUUUUCACCCUCAGGACUGGACCUUACAGACACCUACCAACAGCAAGCACUCACCAGCCACAGGAAGACCAGCUAUCACAGCAAGACUGACCCAAAGCAGUGAUCAUUGCCUGCUGGUCUUCCAAGCCUCUGUUAUUGGCAGUUUAAAACCUUUCCUGUUCCUCUCUCAUUUGCUAGGUCUCAAAUCUAGGUCUUCUCUUGUUCUCUGCAUCUCCUGUCUUUGUAUAAAAUCUUGCCUCACUCAUUUCUUAAAGCACAUCGUAUUUCCA